ensembl:lncRNA
AAUCACAACCAUGAAUGCUAUAAAUGCUAUGCAACUGUUCUUUUUGGUUUGGACCUUUACUGCUGUCUGUCAAGCUGAUAAAGAUAUCAGUGUAAGCUGUGAAGAUGUGCCUGGAUCUGUGGGGAAAGAAGUCAAUCUCACCUGCAGCGUCUCUCUGCUGAUAAAUAAAUGCUGCAUUAAAAAUUAUAUGUUUGAAUACAAAGACUCAAAAAUCUGUCCACAAGUGCUUCGUGAAUCCUGUGAACGGAGGAAAAGCGUCACAUGCAGCUACACUCCAACUACAACAGUGACAGAAAAAUUCUCCUUCUUUGUGCAAGCGUCGUGUGGAUGGAAGAAACUCAGUUUCACUGUUGACACAACAGUUUACUUAGGACUUAACAAAGCAAGAUCAUCUCCACCAGAGACAGCAGCGGGUCUUGGAUUCAAGGAUACUGUCAUCAGUGUGGCUGUGAGCGGUUUAAUCAUCUUCCUCAUCAUCAUCAUGACAAUCAUGUACAAAACAAAACCAAACUUCACCAAACUUUCAGAACAAGAUGUUACUGUUUGUCAGACAUGACGAGGACAGCAGCAAUCACCCAGAUAUAUAAGGAUUAAGUCAGCAGUAUGAAACUACUGACUUUGUUUGAUUUUCCCUAUGGUGCUCACAAAAGACACACGCUUUAUUAUAUCUCAAACUUAAUAUAUAACUCUGGCUGUACACUGUAAAACAAUUUGACCAUAAAUUCACAGUAAAUUACUGGCUGCUAGUUGCAUUACUUUCACCGUAAUUUACUGUAUGUAAAUUCACAGUAAAUUACUGUAAACUAGUUACAUUACUUUCACAGUAAGAUACUGUAUCAUUUUUACAGUAAAUAAUUGUGAAAUGACAGCUGUAUACUGUGACUUCACGGUAGUUAUUCCAUACUGUGAUUUGGCAGUAUGCUCCUGUAGAAUUACUGAUUUAGCUGUGAAGUUACAGUUAAUGCCAUCAGAUUACUGCAAUUUAGCAGUAUUCUGCUGUAGAAUUACAGUGUAAACUGAAAUAGUUGUGCAAAUCAGUAGCCAGUAAUAUGCUUUUAAUUUAUUAUACAAUGUAUUGUUAAUUAACAACUUUUAAUUUAAAAUAUUGUUAAUUUAGUAUAAAAUACUGUUGUUUAGAAAUCUGAUCUUUUAACCCAUCACUGGAAAGAUAUGUUCAAUUCAAAUAAACACAAAAUAUUUCGUACA